CUCCUUCUCGUCCAGAAGGCGGGGGGCGUGGAAGUCAGCCUCCUUCCGGAUAAGCUGGGGAGCACAUACAAGAGGGAGAGAGGAGCCUGUGAAUCAGCCUUCCUGGUGGAGAUGCUCCUCCUAACCAGGGGUGGGCAGCUCAUUCCAGAUGGCAGGAUCAUGUGGCUCUGAGGACCGCGGUCUAAACCAUCCCUCUGGGGUGGUGGACCAUGGCCGAGCGGAGCCAUCAUCUUCUUGGGCGGACCGGCCAUGGAGCUGGCCUGCAUCAGGGCCAUACUGGAGAGGACAGCCUCACAGCCAAGCAACCCCGCCUAGGAACAGAACCGAGCCCGAGUCAGGGAAAUCCAGUACCAAUCAGACAUUUAGAAAAUAUAUAAAACAGAACCAGUCUGGGUGUAGAGGAGCUAAACAAAUGAGAAGACAAACACUCAGACUGUCAGAGGCCAAGUUACAGUUACACCAGAAACAGUAUGAAACCCAAUGAUAAAAAUUAAAAUCAAGCACUUUACAUUUUAUGACGACCACAUCCUGAGUGACAAAAGAUACUGUAUAAUGUUGCCUAAUAGUAGGCAUGUUGUUUGUAGCCAUUUUAUCAUUUUUUUGUUGGAAAACAAACCCAUUUCAUAUGGUCGCGGACUGAGCUGCUGGGCAGGUGUGACAUUGCAGUGGGAACGGUGUAUGUGAGGGCGGGGAUGGGGGCGGGGACAAGGUCAUCCAGGGAUCCGUCAAUCAGGAUGGUCAGUCUGACGGGGGGCCACACCCACCACACUCAUCUAGCACUAAAACUGAGGAAGAGGAGGAUGUGGACAAUACAUAAAAAUACAUUCAAUAAUAAUGAAAUGAUUUUUAAAAACAAUAAAACCAGCAAUGAGUCACAGAUUGUAACUGCACCAACCACACAAAACCCAAUUAUAACUCAAAAACUAGCAUCUCCAUAAUAAACUGUAAGUCAUUUGGUUUA